UUGACAGCUUUGGAAAUGGAUGGCUUCUUUUUCUCCCAAGAAUAGAUACAGCCUGAUAAACAGAGGUGUAAGAUUCCCCAAACUGCUCUUUCAAUAUGCCUUCACCCUGACAAACUAAUAGCUGCAAGGGAGAAAGAACAAGUCACCUUUUCCAGCCAGAUCUCUGCAGACACUGCU
ensembl:misc_RNA